AUUGAACGCUGGCGGCAUGCCUAACACAUGCAAGUCGAACGAGUGGCGGACGGGUGAGCAGUGUCUGGAAAACUGCCUGAUGGAGCCGGCUAACUACUGGAAACGUUAGCUAAUACCGCAUACCAUCGUAUGUGCCCAGACGGGAUUAGCUAGUCGGUGGGGUAAAGGCGCACCUAGGCGACGAUCCCUAGCUGGUCUGAGAGGAUGACCGGCCACACUGGGACUGAGACACGGUCCAGACUCCUACGGGAGGCAGCAGUGGGGAAUAUUCUGCAAUGGGCGCAAGCCUGAUGCAGCCAUGCCGCGUGUAUGAAGGAGGCCUUCGUGUUGUAAAGUUCUUUCAGCGGAGAGGCGUUACCCACAGAGAAAGCACCGGCUAACUCCGUGCCAGCAGCCGCGGUAAUAC
rnacentral:rRNA from 1 species